UGACUNGAGUGCAGAAGGGGAGAGUGGAAUUCCAUGUGUAGCGGUGAAAUGCGUAGAUAUAUGGAGGAACACCAGUGGCGAAAGCGGCUCUCUGGUCUGUCACUGACGCUGAGGCUCGAAAGCGUGGGUAGCGAACAGGAUUAGAUACCCUGGUAGUNCACGCCGUAAACGAUGAGUGCUAGGUGUUAGGCCCUUUCCGGGGCUUAGUGCCGGAGCUAACGCAAUAAGCACUCCGCCUGGGGAGUACGACCGCAAGGUUGAAACUCAAAGGAAUUGGCGGGGGCCCGCACAAGCGGUGGAGCAUGUGGUUUAAUUCGAAGCAACGCGAAGAACCUUACCAGGUCUUGACAUCCCGAUGCUAUUCUUAGAGAUAGGAAGUUACUUCGGUACAUCGGAGACAGGUGGUGCAUGGUUGUCGUCAGCUCGUGUCGUGAGAUGUUGGGUUAAGUCCCGCAACGAGCGCAACCCUUAUUGUUAGUUGCCAUCAUUAAGUUGGGCACUCUAGCGAGACUGCCGGUAAUAAACCGGAGGAAGGUGGGGAUGACGUCAAAUCAUCAUGCCCCCUAUGACCUGGGCUACACACGUGCUACAAUGGUCGGUACAACGAGUUGCGAGCCGGUGACGGCAAGCUAAUCUCUGAAAGCCGAUCUCAGUUCGGAUUGGAGGCUGCAACUC
rnacentral:rRNA from 1 species